rnacentral:rRNA from 1 species
CAACUGUUUACCAAAAACACAGCUCCCUGCGAACUCGCAAGAGGAUGUAUAGGGGGUGACACCUGACCAAUGCCCGAAGGUCAAACAUGAACGGUGUAUGAUCGCAAGAUCUUCUGCUGAUUUAUGUAAGCCCGGGUGAAUGUCGGCCGUAACUAUAACGGUCCUAAGGUU